CAGCAGCCACGGUAAGACGGAGGGGGCUAGCGUUGUUCGGAAUUACUGGGCGUAAAGAGUGCGUAGGCGGUUUAGUAAGUUGGAAGUGAAAGCCCGGGGCUUAACCUCGGAAUUGCUUUCAAAACUACUAAUCUAGAGUGUAGUAGGGGAUGAUGGAAUUCCUAGUGUAGAGGUGAAAUUCUUAGAUAUUAGGAGGAACACCGGUGGCGAAGGCGGUCAUCUGGGCUACAACUGACGCUGAUGCACGAAAGCGUGGGGAGCAAACAGGAUUAGAUACCCCAGUAGUCCCUGUCUCUUAUAA
rnacentral:rRNA from 1 species